rnacentral:misc_RNA from 1 species
ACCUCGAACGGAGACGUCGAGAACGCUGGCUAGAACGAUCAGUCGAGCUCCUUGCAGAUGUCUUUGUCACCGAUUUAUUUCGAACCCGACAAUAAUGAAGACUAUGCUGCAACCGAACUUCUCGAAGUUCCAAAGAAGAAAACAGCUAGGAGAAGUUUGGAAAGCCAGUUUGAAACAUGUAUACAAGAAAAACCUGUCACUCCACAGCCGACAGUUGGCGUGGAACAACAAGUCAAUGUUCAGUUACCAAAGGAAACAAUAGAGUCAAGUCUUAGUGAUAUAGUGCCCCACGGAAAGGACCACGAUGCCAUGAAUGAAAUGCUGCCUACAAGACUUUUUCAGCAGGUACUGCCAGCGACAAGCACAGAGAGUAUAGGUAGUGCAUCUUCUUACAGACAAAGAAGUAAAUCACCAACUAGAACCCCAAGCUUCUGUGCGGCCAUCUCUGCAUCUCUCAUGUCACUUGAGGAAGAAAUAAGAAAGAAGGAGGCUGACAUGUUGGCAUCAAGAAACAAACUGUUGAAAAUAAAAUCAAGUACACCGAAAAGCAUAGCCUCCCUUCCUCCAUCACCCCAGGUUCCCAACCAGACCAGCACCCCAGCUCCAGAUCAGAUUAUUUCCAUGUCAACAUCCCAAUGUAAUACAAGUGAAAGUGAUUCUGUAGUGUGUCGUAUUUGCCAUGAUGGAGACAGCAGUGAAGAACUUGUCUCUCCUUGCUAUUGUACUGGAAGUGUUGGCGCCCUCCAUUUGACCUGCCUUGAAAGGUGGCUGGGUACCUCGAACACAACCAAAUGUGAGAUAUGUAAAUAUGAGUUCAAAGUAGAAAGGAAACCAAGACCAAUUAUAGAAUUUCUGCGACACCCGGCCUCUGCAUCAGAUCGGAAAAAUCUGGCAUGUGACUUGGUGUGCUUCAUAGUGCUCACACCACUGACUGUGUGCAGUGCUUUUCUGUGUUUGAUGGGGGUAAAACAUUACUCCCAGUGGAGUGGGCAGUGGGAAGUUCCUGGUCUAGCUUCACUGACUGCCUGUCUUCUCACAGUUUAUACAAUCUGGUGUUGUGUUGCUGUUAAACACCACAUCCAAGUUGUGACAGACUGGCGAAAGAAGAACCAGAUCAUCAAAAUCAUCUAUUUGUCACCUACCAAAGGAAAGACAGUGUUGCAUACCGAGACUGUCUGUGAUGUUAACAACAAUGCCAGGUCUCCCGCACAGACACCGAUAUCCCACAGUGCCAACACUCCUCGCAGCUCACAGUGUCGAGAACUACCCCAGGACACUCCCAAGUCCUACAACACUGCGAUGCUGAAACCUAUUCUGAAGUAUUCUGUUAAUCUCCAAGCUUACAGUCAUCCCUCUGGACUAGACACAACUGGUGCAUCAGUUUCUCACACCAUUUUGUGGGGGGGAACUGAUUCUAUGGAAUGCAGUUCUAACCCCAUCAUGAUAACACGAGCUACUAGUUCACAAAUGAUGGCUGUUCUUGGCAAGGAGACAUAUGUUUAGCAAACUUUGAUUUGAUUAUAAAUUUAUAUUCAGCAAGAAACAAAAAGCAGAUAAAAAAUUAUGACAAAAAUGUUUUUGAAUUGAUAUGUAUUACAGGACAGUUGCAUGUUGAAAAUAACACUAAAAUGUCAAAAGAAUUGUAUUAUUGCCAUGCUUCAGCCAAGUUUGACAAAACUGAGAGAGUUGAAAUAUUAAGACCUGUUUACUCAUCAACAUAUGAAUAGUUAUACAUUGUGAUUGCAAUUAUUUGAACGUUUGCUUUUUCCAUAUUUGUUGCAGAAAAUAUAGUAGCAAUUGUUUUGCAUUCCACUUAUACAUUAUUUUCUCACUUGUCAUAAAAUAUUCAUAUUUGUAUUGCAUGUAUAUAUACAGUGUUACAACAAUGACUGUUGAGUUGGAUGACUGGCUGUUAUAGGAAACAUUAUGUCUUCACGUUUGCUUAUUUACAUCUAUUUACAAGAUGAUAUUUCAUAACAUAAUCCAUUCUCAACAGUUCCACAUCAUCAUUAUUGUAUAGUCUAAUUGUAUAUGAAAAGUUAAAACGGACAUUGUCUCAACCUGAAAUUAAUCUGUGAUACAGUUUUGCAAUGCUGAUAAACAUUCUGAAUCUGUGAUACUUGUUUCUACACAAGAAUAUGCCAA